CCUACUGGGGGCUGCAGUGGGGAAUUUUGGACAAUGGGCGCAAGCCUGAUCCAGCAAUGCCGCGUGCAGGAUGAAGGCCUUCGGGUUGUAAACUGCUUUUGUACGGAACGAAACGGUGAGCUUUAAUACAGUUUGCUAAUGACGGUACCGUAAGAAUAAGCACCGGCUAACUACGUGCCAGCAGCCGCGGUAAUACGUAGGGUGCGAGCGUUAAUCGGAAUUACUGGGCGUAUUAUGUGCGCAAGCUGUGAAAUCCCCGGGCUCAACCUGGGACCUGCAUUUGUGACUGUAUAGCUAGAGUACGGUAGAGGGGGAUGGAAUUCCGCGUGUAGCAGUGAAAUGCGUAGAUAUGCGGAGGAACACCGAUGGCGAAGGCAAUCCCCUGGACCUGUACUGACGCUCAUGCACGAAAGCGUGGGGAGCAAACAGGAUUAGAUACCCCUGUAGUC
rnacentral:rRNA from 1 species